ACUACGCCUCCAUCCCUUCUCCAAGAAAUCUGACAACACCCUCAUUGCCCGAGCCUCCAACACCUCCAUCUCCGCCACAAGAUCAAGAAAUCCGACAACAACCCCAUCACUCGAGCCUCCAACACCUCCACCUCCACCACGAUCAUUAAAGGUUCUGCAGCUAAUUCUAGGGUUCUUCGUGAUGCAAUAUCUAGAAGACAUGGGUUGAAAGUACCUAAAGGUUUUUUCUACUUGUGUGAUGCUGGAUAUGCAAAUGGUGAAGGGUUUCUAACUCCAUAUAGGGGCCAACGAUAUCAUUUUAAUGAAUGGAGACAAAAUCACAUCCCUCAAAAUAAAGAAGAGUUUUUUAAAUACAAACACUCUGGUGCUAGGAAUGUAAUUGAUGUUUUGGGUUCCUCAAGAUGAGAUGGAGUAUACUUAGAGAGAGGUCUUGGUAUCCGGUGAAAACUAAAUGUCGAAUCAUUUCUGCUUGUGCUUUGAUACAUAAUCACAUUAGAAAGGAGAAGAUACUUAACCCAUUAGAAGCUGAAUUAAGUGAAGUGUUUGUAGACUAUGAUGCAUUUUAAGAUGUUGAAAUUAUUCAAUACAUUGAGACCUCAGAUACAUGGACUACUUGGAGAGAUAAUUUGGCACAAGAGAUGUGGUCUGGGUGGUUGAAGACAAGGAAUGUGGGAUUAUAUUAAUUAUUCAACUG